UAAUCUGCCCUUCUCAGGGCAACCAAAUAUUUUAUUUCGAAGAAUAU
rfam:Solenopsis invicta Si_gnG.contig42574, whole genome shotgun sequence.